GGGGGGGGGGGGGGGGGGGGGGGGGGGGUGGGAGGCGGGGGGGGGGCGGGGGGGGGGGCGGGCGGGUGAGUAACGCGUGGGAAGCUACCCAUCCCUACGGAAUAACGCAUGGAAACGUGUGCUAAUACCGUAUACGCCCUACGGGGGAAAGAUUUAUCGGGGAUGGAUGAGCCCGCGUUGGAUUAGCUAGUUGGUGGGGUAAAGGCCUACCAAGGCGACGAUCCAUAGCUGGUCUGAGAGGAUGAUCAGCCACAUUGGGACUGAGACACGGCCCAAACUCCUACGGGAGGCAGCAGUGGGGAAUAUUGGACAAUGGGCGCAAGCCUGAUCCAGCCAUGCCGCGUGAGUGAUGAAGGCCUUAGGGUUGUAAAGCUCUUUCACCGGAGAAGAUAAUGACGGUAUCCGGAGAAGAAGCCCCGGCUAACUUCGUG
rnacentral:rRNA from 1 species